rnacentral:rRNA from 1 species
GACGUAGGUGGCGAACGUUAUCCGGAAUUAUUGGGCGUAAAGGGUGCGUAGGCGGCAUGAUAAGUUAUUGGCGGGAAAAUCGAGGCUCAACCUCGUGGAAACUAAUAAUACUGUUUUGCUUGAGUACAGGAGAGGUUAACGGAACUCCAUGUGGAGCGGUAAAAAUGUGUAGAUAUAUGGAAGAACAUCAAUAACGGCGAAGGCAGUUAACUAUUCUGUUACUGACGUUGAGGCACGAAAGCGUGGGGAGCAAAACGG